rnacentral:rRNA from 1 species
UAAUACGUAGGGUGCAAGCGUUAAUCGGAAUUAUUGGGCGUAAAGGGUGCGCAGGCGGUUUUGUAAGUCAGAUGUGAAAUCCCCGGGCUUAACCUGGGAAUUGCGUUUGAAACUACAAGACUAGAGUGUGGCAGAGGGGGGUGGAAUUCCAUGUGUAGCAGUGAAAUGCGUAGAGAUGUGGAAGAACAUCGAUGGCGAAGGCAACCCCCUGGGUUAACACUGACGCUCAGGCACGAAAGCGUGGGGAGCAAACAGGAUUAGAUACCCUGGUAGUCCACGCCCUAAACUAUGUCAACUAGUUGUCGGAUCUUAAUAGAUUUGGUAACGUAGCUAACGCGUGAAGUUGACCGCCUGGGGAGUACGGUCGCAAGAUUAAAACUUAAAUGAAUUGACGG